AAGCAUGAUAACAUUUAUGAAAAGAAAAUUGUGAUAAGGUAGGAUCACACAGGAUUGGCUGACCCUGUGGAGGAGUCUUACAAGUGGCCGCCCGGACAGGGACUUGCCUUCGUAACCCCGAUUCCUGGUCUUAGGAUGACGAGGAGUAACAACUCCCUCUACAAGUCUAUAGCUCAGGUAAAGACAGAGUAUGGCUCCCUCCCCGCUGAGUUCAAGAAAUUGACCAUAAAGAGAAGGACAAGGAGAGGAUGCAGGAAGCCUCACAAGGAGACUUGACAACGUCUCUGUAAGAUACUG
rnacentral:lncRNA from 1 species